GGGCUAUUAGCUCAGUUGGUUAGAGUACGCCCCUGAUAAGGGUGAGGUCCCUGGUUCGAAUCUAGGAUGGCCCA
rnacentral:tRNA from 1 species